rnacentral:rRNA from 1 species
AUUGAACGCUGGCGGCAUGCCUUACACAUGCAAGUCGAACGGCAGCAUGAUCUAGCUUGCUAGAUUGAUGGCGAGUGGCGAACGGGUGAGUAAUACAUCGGAACGUGCCCUGUAGUGGGGGAUAACUAGUCGAAAGAUUAGCUAAUACCGCAUACGACCUGAGGGUGAAAGUGGGGGACCGCAAGGCCUCAUGCUAUAGGAGCGGCCGAUGUCUGAUUAGCUAGUUGGUGAGGUAAAGGCUCACCAAGGCGACGAUCAGUAGCUGGUCUGAGAGGACGAUCAGCCACACUGGGGCUGAGACACGGCCCAGACUCCUACGGGAGGCAGCGGUGGGGAAUUUUGGACAAAGUGCGAAAGCCUGAUCCAGCAAUGCCGCGUGGGUGAAGAAGGCCUUCGGGUUGUAAAGCACUUUUGUCCGGAAAGAAAUGGCUCUGGUUAAUACCUGGGGUCGAUGACGGUACCGGAAGAAUAAAGACCGGCUAACUACGG